ensembl:lncRNA
GGAUUUCUGCAUGGAAGGAGGAUGAGUACUAAGACACACACGUGAAUUCUGCAGCAGAAGAGAAUGUCACCAUGAAUGUCCAUUGGCAAACUGGAUAAGAAAGAGUGUCACAGUGCAGGACAACCUAGAAGAUGACAGUGGAAUCCAAACAGGAAAGCUGGGAAAUGAUCUAAACCCUUUGAGGUUAACCUGCUAUGAAAGAUCAUCAAUGACAGAAGAGGACAUUAUUAAAAAGGAGCCAGCCUCACUCAAAAAGAACCACUGUGUGAAGCCAAAGCCCAAAGAACAGCACCCAGGGCUGUUUGUGGUCCCCCAGGGAUAUGUAUUUCAUUCCUCAUCUUCAUCUCUCCAAAUUUACUCUGAACUGCUUCUGAGCUGAAUUCUUGAGAAAGAAAACCAGCAAAUUUUGAAUGGAACUUAUCAAACUUUUCCCUACAAUCUGCUUCGUAUUCCUCUCACAAUCAUGUUCUUGCAGUAUCUUGGGGAGAUGCUCGGAUCAAAGAUAAGAGAGAACAAGAAAAGGAAUGAAGAGAGAAACAAACAACAAAACAAAAGCAGCACCCCCCAAACUUUGUGAUGAAACUCCUCUGCAAAUCGAGUGCAUGGUUACAGCAAAGUUAAAACUGCCUUCUUCUUCACCAGAAUUUAAUUCCUGCUUUUAAAAUCAGACUCCCUUUGAUCUUGAGGACUGAAAUGAUCUGGAAAUGAAACAGCCAGUGCUUUGCAGAAAAUCUGGAGAGGGUCCCAGACAUGGCUUUUACCUGGAAGGCUUCCAAAACAGGAUGAAAUCUCUCUGGUUUCAGAACAAAUUGCAAGAUUUUUUCUCUAUGUCUAGUCCAACUGUGGAACUCUAGCCCUGAUGUCUGCUGCUUCCCAAAGCACAGAUGUAAUAACCUCUGAGGUGAAAUGAGAACGUUAUUCCCCCAUCUUCUCCCCUCUGCCUCCCCUCUGAGGGUUGAGGGCUGAGAGAAUUUUAUUAAAGUGAAGGCUUAAAGUUUUGGGCAGACUUAAUUUGAGGAGACAGUUGGUUAUAACCCAGGCUAGGGCCAUCCAUGUGGAGGUUGGAGAGGACAGAGCUCCAGGAGCAUCUGUGACAUCUGGAUCCUGUUGAAAGCUCAGAAAUAUCUGCCUGGCUUCAUGUGACCUGGCCCCACAGCCAAAAGGGCUGAGAAAUGUGGUUAAGAGACUGCAGCAAGCUCUGCCCUAGCAAAUGAGUCCCACUGAGAAAGCAAGCACAUCAAUAUUUCUUUGAGUCUGUUUCUUUUAGUGAAUAUAUUUCCAUAUGUUGCAUUAAUAUUUCUUUUAUUGGGGCUUGUAAGCCCAUCUGGUAUUUGUAUUGGGAGGGCUUGAGCUGGCAGAUCCCUGUGCUGCUGUUAGACACAGAUCUGGACAGCCCUUGCAAGGAUGGGUAGGUGGUUGGAUAGGGACAGCAUCUCCUCAGCUGCCUUUUUAAUUGGAUAAACUUCUCAAAUCAAUCAAGAUAACCAGGUUACCUCUUGUCAAUUAGUUCCCACUGUGCUAAUGUUACAACAUGGGCUGAGUAUUAGGUAUAGCAGUCCACUGUAAAGAAACCUCUCAGACCCUGUACAGUGUAACAGCCCUGAUCUAGGUGGUGCAAAGGAGGAAAGAUACCUGGGCACCAAUAGUAAACAAAAAAAUGUGCUGAAAUACCCCAGUUUGCCAGGACAAUAAGAAUCACUUUCCUUUGCAAGUAUUAUUAAGGAAUAGGGGAAUUAUUAUCUGCUUUAAUACAAGCAUUUUCCUUCUGCAUGAUUAACUUCAGUGAUAUCAACAGAGAGUGUGAUGACUCUGAAAUGACAGCUCCUGGUAGCACGUUCUGGGAUUAGCAAAAACAGGUUGUCACUUUACCCCAGUCAGGAGCAGGCAGUCGCUGUGUGCCCAGGGCUGGGCAGCAGAGCCGUGUUCUGCAGACAUCUGACAGCCCAAGUGGGCAGCAGGUCCAGCCUCCUGCCAGGUGGCUCCCAGGUCGGGCGUGCAGGGCUCUGCUCCUCCAGGAGAUUGGAUUUCCUGAGGCAGCAGCGUGUGAUUUUGGCUGUGCAGCUUCCAGACUGAAAGCACUGCAUGCUCCUCGUGCUAAGCUGUGACUUGCUCUGUUCUGUGCACAAUGCACUGAGCUGAUUUUAAAAUAUUGUGUACUUUUAAAAUGCCUGGCUCUAAUGCCAGUCCUGUGUCUGGCUGCUCAACGUGUGAAGUGACAGCGCACGCACCAGCCCCUGGAGGGGAUGGAGAGAGAGGUAGGACAAACACGCCAGAGCUCUGAGCAAUGGCAUGAAACAACAAAAAGAAUCCUUUCAUUCUUACUAAAGUUGCAAAAAGUCUGUCAUGUCUUCUGUAGAAAUUAAUCAAUAUAUGGAAAACUGCAUAACAACUGUGGGGGCAGCAAGAAUCUGUCUAUAAAUUAAAAUACUGUGAGUUUCCAGAGCUGACUGGGGAAAGCACUGGGGUUGCUAACAGGGCUCUGGAGCCAGGACAGAGUCCAUGGAAUUGGACCAUUCACUAGAGUCCAUGUUUUGUCAGUGUCAGGAUACAUAAGAACUGUAAAACAAAGCAAAUUGUAUGUUUGGAAGGAAACUUGAAAUUUAGUCCAGCAUCACAUUCCUUUGAAAAUUUCAUAUUAAUAAAAAAAACCCAAAAAUUAAAUGUCCA